rnacentral:lncRNA from 1 species
ACGUCUGUUUUUCCUCCAGGUGUCUUUAACGAUUUCUUACCCCAGUGGAUCUGGCAUCUGGAACCCCGGGAGGCCCCAGGUUCACGGAUUUCCGUCGCUGGGAGAGAAACGCGCUUUUCUAAGGGACCUGGGCGGUAACUGAUUUUUAAUCGAUUAGCCCUGAAAGGUUAAGAUUCUAUUUUUGUUUUCUGCUUUUCUUCUUCCUCCAGACAACGAGUUUGUGGAAGCCUCUCCCGCGCCCUACAGCCCGGAGGAGUUCGGCAGAUUCUUUAUCAUCUGAACCACCAAGAAGCUUGAUUUGAAGAAGCCCCA